rnacentral:rRNA from 1 species
CCUACGGGUGGCAGCAGUGAGGAAUAUUGGUCAAUGGGCGCGAGCCUGAACCAGCCAAGUAGCGUGAAGGAUGACUGCCCUACGGGUUGUAAACUUCUUUUAUAAAGGAAUAAAGUGAGGCACGUGUGCCUUUUUAUAUGUACUUUAUGAAUAAGGAUCGGCUAACUCCGUGCCAGCAGCCGCGGUAAUACGGAGGAUCCGAGCGUUAUCCGGAUUUAUUGGGUUUAAAGGGAGCGUAGGUGGAUUGUUAAGUCAGUUGUGAAAGUUUGCGGCUCAACCGUAAAAUUGCAGUUGAAACUGGCAGUCUUGAGUACAGUAGAGGUGGGCGGAAUUCGUGGUGUAGCGGUGAAAUGCUUAGAUAUCACGAAGAACUCCGAUUGCGAAGGCAGCUCACUGGACUGCAACUGACACUGAGGCUCGAAAGUGUGGGUAUCAAACAGGAUUAGAUACCCUAGUAGUC